GACGAACGCUGGCGGCGUGCCUAAUACAUGCAAGUCGAGCGGACCGACGGGAGCUUGCUCCCUUAGGUCAGCGGCGGACGGGUGAGUAACACGUGGGUAACCUGCCUGUAAGACUAGGAUAACUCCGGGAAACCGGGGCUAAUACCGGAUGCUUGAUUGAACCGCAUGGUUCAAUCAUAAAAGGUGGCUUUUAGCUACCACUUGCAGAUGGACCCGCGGCGCAUUAGCUAGUUGGUGAGGUAACGGCUCACCAAGGCGACGAUGCGUAGCCGACCUGAGAGGGUGAUCGGCCACACUGGGACUGAGACACGGCCCAGACUCCUACGGGAGGCAGCAGUAGGGAAUCUUCCGCAAUGGACGAAAGUCUGACGGAGCAACGCCGCGUGAGUGAUGAAGGUUUUCGGAUCGUACAACUCUGUUGUUAGGGAAGAACAAGUACCGUUCGAAUAGGGCGGUACCUUGACGGUACCUAACCAGAAAGCCACGGCUAACUACGUGCCAGCAGCCGCGGUAAUACGUAGGUGGCAAGCGUUGUCCGGAAUUAUUGGGCGUAAAGCGCGCGCAGGCGGUUUCUUAAGUCUGAUGUGAAAGCCCCCGGCUCAACCGGGGAGGGUCAUUGGAAACUGGGGAACUUGAGUGCAGAAGAGGAGAGUGGAAUUCCACGUGUAGCGGUGAAAUGCGUAGAGAUGUGGAGGAACACCAGUGGCGAAGGCGACUCUCUGGUCUGUAACUGACGCUGAGGCGCGAAAGCGUGGGGAGCG
rnacentral:rRNA from 1 species